UGUUAUUUUAGUGUAUAUAUUUAAGCACUUUUAAUUUCCAAUUAAAUAGAUAUGAUAACACACAUAAAUUAUCAU
rnacentral:tRNA from 1 species